AUGGAACCACAACACGGUGCAACUAACAAUGAAACUCUAAGAGUUGCAGACAGACCUACAAGAACAAGACAAGCUCCUUCAAGGAUUAUUGACUAUCAAAUUUACUCUGAUGGAAAUAUAUCAACAGAAGGUGACCUGGUGCACCAUAUGGAUCUUAUGGCAGACAUUGAACAUAUAUCAUUUGAGGAAGACAUCUCAAAGGAAGCAUGUAGACUAGCUAUGGAAGAAUAA